CACACAGAAUUCAACUGCAGUUUUCUUAGAUAUGUGACUUGGGCAAGUUACUUAACCUCUUUUUGCUUCAAUUGUCUUUCCAAAAAAUGAGAUACUUAAGGCUCAUCUUGUAUCUUCCCUGCCCCAGCCCUGGAAUCAGCCAUUUCUCCAAAAAGUCCUGGCUCCUUUUAGUGGUGAAUGGUAUUAGAAGCCAAGAUCUGGGCACUAAGUGUACUCAUCACUAUUGGAUUAUUGCUAUUCCCAGGUCCUCACGGUGGGCAGAACCAAGGAGUUUAUGUUACAUAUAUAUUUAUUUCUAUAUCUAUUUAUGCAUGUUGAAAAUCAUGAGUCACACUGAUGUCUCCUAUUCUAAACCAACGUUGCAAAAUUUCUUCUAGUUUUCUUACUUUCCAUAUUUGUAACUCCCUUCUCCAACCAUGAAUAAUCUCUUAAUAUAUUUACUUAUUUGAGCAAUAGUCUUGUGUGUAACCAAUCUACUAUUUCUACCACCAUUCUCUUCCUGUGUAUACUCUGCCACUCCGUGCCCAGUCAUCUUUCUACAUAGACAAUCUGCAACACUAGGUGGGCUCUGAUCCCUCCCCAUGCUGGGCCACUUCACACAAGGAUGCCUAUUUCAUUCUGCUUAGAUUCUGACUCACUGUGCCACACUGUCCUGCCCACCAUGGAUGCCCUCCUCACUCCAUUUGCUCUAACUCCCCACACUGGGCCAAUUCCCUGCAUGGCCACACUUGUUACCUUGCUCAGUUCUGAUACCCUAUGUCAGGCCACCCUUCUCUACACUAGCCUCAGUCCACUCAGGCUCUGACACCCAUUCUGGGCCACUGUGGCUUCCCCCCUUCUUUUGGAAUAGAUGCCAACUUUGGUCUGCAUUACCUAAAGACAUUAGGACUGAAUUGCUCAAGAAGAAAAGGGGGAGAAGGAGAAGAAGAGCUCUUUUUUUGUUUUUAACACCUUCUCUGACACAAUGAAGACUGUCAAUAGGGUAAAGAAAGGAGGAACUGUUUGCAUUCAAUGAGACCAUUUGAUGCUUCACCUGUAUUAUGUAGGAAAAAUUAUUUCCUGAUUUAUUUAUCCCCCAAAGUGUUUUGUCACCAAAAGGCACAAAUUACUUUUUCACUGAGAACACCCUUGGCAUUCAAAUAUUUAAUUGCCAUUAUUAUCAAGAUCACUCAUUAAUUGAUACUGUCUUUUAUUUCUUUUUCACUUCAUUCCCUCAUUGGCACAGAGGCCUUACCUGUCCCGUCUCAUGGUACUUAGCUCUUUAUGUAAUUUUUAUAUAGUCUUAAAGCCCUGGCACACAUUGUAUGAUACAAUCAGUGUGGGCUUAGAAGUCAGACAGAACUUGCAUUCAAAUGACUCUUAUUUAUCUCUCUUUUUUAUAAGAAUUAAAGACACACAUAUCUUUAAGAUAUAUAACAUAUAUAUGAUAUAUUUAUUACAUCUGCCACGUGGUAAAGCAUUCUCUAAAGUUUGUUCCUAUCACAUCUACCUUCCUGACAAAGUCUCAUGUUUGUGCACGUAUGUCUCUGUCUGUCUCUUUGUUCAUUUUUUUUUUCCUUUGAGACCCGAGACCAUGGGAAGAACUUCAGGUAAGUAAAAACUGGUAAAUAACAACAACUCUGAAAACCAGAAAAUUGGUCUAACUUCUCAUUAAACUUUAAACAGAUGUAUUACCUGUUUCUCUCAGAAGUUUUUGACCCACUGGGCAUUCCUAGGACUUCCCUGAAAAAUUUGGAUCUUGACAGUUUCAAGUGUCCUAUGGUGUUUAGCAUUAUCCCAAUGGUAUUCUCAUUAUAGCCAAUACAACAGCAGAGGAAAAGGGAAGUAGAAGCAACAUUUCUGUAAAUCUGCCUUUCGGUGCCCAAUAUACCAAGAGUGCAUCCUGCUGCCUACUCAUCUGAAAGUCUUUCUGGGUCCUAGCUUGCUUACCUCAUUCUCUCUCAAUCACUCAUCAUUGAGCUGUGAGGAUUCCCUGUUCCCUCCAUGUUUCAAAGACCAUUCUAAGGCAAGUAGAACUGGAAAAGCUGUAAAAAAUACUAUUGGUCCAAUCCACCCCAGUUAGUUGGAAAAAUCCAUAUUUGUUGCCACAUGAAAAUAUUAUGUGGUAUCCUGCAUUCUGUUCCUGUCUUUGACCCACUUCUGUUGAAACUGUACUUUUUCCUUGGUUAUUUUUUUGUAAUUUUUAGUGUAAAAUCCUUCCUCUGAUUACACUGAAGCCUUGUGCAGAGUGAAGCAUAGCGUCUCUCUCCUGCGAUGAGAUGGAAAUUGUUAUCUUUGCCCCCAUGACACCAGAGUAAAAUGGGAAACUGCACUUGUGUAAUCAUCAGAGUACAGACCCUAUAAGAGAGGUACAAAAUUGUUUCCUUCUUAGAGGGCUUAAUUAAAAUCAUUACUUAAAAAUAAGCAUUGUGACAACAUCAUGAUUGGGCUAUUUUUGAACCGUGGAACACCUAUGAGAAUUCAGUGUUCCAUGAGGAAAGUGCCUCUUCUCAGUUCACACAUGUACAUUUGCUGGAUUCAAAAAUUUAAAGAAAUCUAUUAAUCCUCUGGUAAUGAAUGUGCUGAUUAUUUUAUAGUUGUCUAAAAAUGAGAGGCAUAUCAAAAUAAUUUAAUAUUUUGUAAUAUUUUAGAGGGUCAUUACAAGACAUUCUCUUUUACUCAGUAAGGAUUAAAUAACCAAGUCUAUGUGUUUUAUUGCUGAUUUCUACGAUUAAAGCAAGUACAUAUAAGCUGAGCUGAUUGCAAUAUAAAGAAUUAUUCUCCCGGGUCCUACUUGUAUUCAUUCUCUUUCUACAUUUUAAAAACCCAUUCAUCAAUUACUCUGCAGUGGCACCAGGACUUAGCAUGCGCAUAUUAUCUUCUCAUAUUCCUUUGCCGUCUUCCAAAAUCAUGAGUGUGCAUGUGGGAAUGUGUACACCCACCCGCACUCACAAACACAUAUGCACACACGCAAGCACAUAUAAUGGCAUCCAAACAUAUUUACCCAUAAUUACAUUCUAGGCACUUUAUCGAACACAGAUAUUUUUGCAUUCAUUUGUGGAAACUGAAAAGAAUCCACACUAACGUGUAGAGUCUUAAAGCAAACCGUAAUCUUAUAAACAGUGAGGUGAACCUCAGAGGCAGUAGUCUUUUGAUAUGCAGCAUAAGUGAAAUGCUGCAUAAUAUAAAAUGAUGGUGCUAUUAAUCCUUCGGCACUGGUGGUGCCCAGCCCCCCCUUCGCUAUUGAUACCCACACCAUUGUCUCUGGCUUUAAACUUCAUCAGUAUGCAAACGGAGUGUCACUAUGAUGGGUGGUAACUUGGUUGGAUGCACUUUCUACAUUUCUGGCAAAUGAGUAUAAUUAUUUUCAGAGCUGCGGGCAACUCAUGCAUGUUUUAUCCUCCAUCUGGACCAGCACGGUACACAAUAGUGAUAAAAGAUGAUUUUCCCCGUUGGAUGUUCACAGGCCAUCAUCGACACAGUCCUGAUGAAAUGGCCAUGUAUCCCCUAGCAGUUCUAUAUCUGCCACAGCUUGACAACAAAAUUAUUUCCCCAUAGUACUAAAACACUUCAAAUAUUCAAGCCCUCUGUGCAUAUAUUUGUGUUUUGAAGCAUUCAGCGUUAACAUAAUGUGGUAAUUUAUAAACUGACAAAUUAACUAUGCAGAAAUCACAGAGAGGCCUUAUGAGGUCUGCAAAGCAGCAGAAAAGAAAGCAGAAGCUUUUUGCGCUCUGUAAUAAUAAUAAUCCUAUCAACUGUCGCAGAUUGCCCGGCCUCCCAUUGUUACAGCCACACGCUCUGAAGCUUGCUUACUGUAGGUGCUUCUGCCCGAGAUGGCUCGCCUCAAACCACGCCAACCGGGAGGCUCGGCUCGGGCUUAACGUGCCAUCCCUCUCCGGGUCUGGGGCUGAUGCAAAAAAGGGCACCAAUAAAAAAAUGCAAGUUGCCCAUAUUGAGCACAGAGAGCCAGAAAUGGAUGUGCGGGAUGGAAGUUGGGGAGGGUGAGAUUUGCCUUCCAGACAGGAAGUGAAUUGAGGACUGGCAAAAUCCAUAACAGCAAAACUGAGAUUAUGCAUGUGAAAGGACGAUCAGCCUUCUUUGUUUUGUGGUUAUAAAAUCAUUUGAAUGAUUAAAAUCCAUCAUCUUGCUAGUCCGCUUUAGCAAAUGCUGGCAAUCCUUGAAGGCCCACUAUUGAUCCUCAGACAGACAGCUGAAUGGAGGCAGCAUCCAUCAAAAGAUGCAAAAGAGCGCAUUUUCACUUUUAUUGUAUUAGCCUAAUUCUCUUUCAGAUGAAUUAAAGACUAAUUUUGCUAGAUCAAGGGGACAGUCUGUAUGUGUAUCUUCUGCUGCCCCCAUCUGUUUAACGUGUAGAUUCUUAGAAGGCAGAAUUAAUUUUUUAGAGGCAAGAAAGUAUUUACAAAUUCUUUGUAAAAAUACAGAACAUUCCUUCAUGAUCCGCCAAGCCAGCCUCUCUUCCUUCCUUCCCCAUGCACCCUGAUCUCCACUCCGCCUCCCCCAGUCACUCCUCCCACACACACAGGCACACUUGCUCUCUUACAGAUUCACACAUGCAUGCUAAACACACACACACACGCACACACACACACUCACACAUGCCGUUCUUUAAAUGGUAUGUACCAUGCUACGAGGCCUACCAAACAUCAGACACUCUUUAUCAGCAGUUGUGCCAGGGUCUCCAUGGCAACAGUAUAAUAGAUUUGCCCUUAUUCAAUCCCAGAGGCCACAUUGAAGCGCAAUGCAAAAUUUGCUGGGGCCUGAAUUCCUUUCAAGCCAUGGCGCCCGUGUCAGGAAACAAGUCAAUGCACAGACAGCACUGCACAGAAAGAUGGAAAGGAACCUUUUCUCUCCACUGCUGUUUGCUCACAGUGACAUUCAGCAGCUCGGGCCCUUCUAGAUCUUGUUUCUGUCUCAUUUUCUAGUUAUUAAUUCACUUCUUUGGGAGGAGAGGCGAGUGGGGGAGGGGAGCGCCAUGCUUUGCAGUAAUAAACCACCAAUGAAAGUGCAAAGCAAGCUGCAUAAAAACGAAGCGUUCUUCUCAGCCUCCAAGGUUAUAUAGGAUUCAAUAUGGCUGAAGCCCACCACAGCUGCAGACUAAAUUCUGGGGUGUGGUGCACCCCAGUGCUGAGCAGGGCUGAGCAGCCGAGCCAACCUCCUUGCCCCACACAGGAGUGGUAUUUUGUGAUGCUCAAGCAAACUUCCCCAGGGAAGGAGAGGCAGAAGAAUGGACACACGCCCUUGUCCCAAAGCCAGUCUCGGCAGGCAGGAGGAAUUCCCAGGAGCUCACACCUGAAGUACACUGUGGCUAAAACAAGCACAGCUUAAAAGUUAAACAAUCAUUUGUUUUAGGUUCAUUUUAAUCAUUAGCUUUGGGACUUACAAGAUGAUUACUUUGUGGGUUAAUUAUUUUCUGUGCUGUGGCUUUCCAAACCUAAUUGCUCAACUUCAUUAUUGUACAUAGCGAUCCAUAGCUGGUUCCUAAAAUUACCUGUCCAAAUAUUUUCCCUUUUGAUUAUCACUGAGAAUUUGCUAUUUUUCUCCCUGCGUCGGAACUUUGCAUAAAUGACUUGGUUGGGAGAUUCCUGUGUGAUUUUGAAGAUUACUAGAGAUAUCACGGGCAUGUGAUAGAACUCACUUGGUGAUGCUGUUAGGAUCUGAAAGAAGACUCUUCAGGGGCUUUGCCCUGGUGAAGCCUAAUUAACUUCAGGGCAGUGGUUCUCUUGCUUUCAUGUACAUCAAAAGCACCUGGAGUAUUGUUAAAACACAGUUUCCUGAACCUCAUCCCCAGAGACUCUGAUUCAGCGGGUCAGGGUCAGGGCCAGGGCCCAGGCGUUUGCACCUCCAACAAGCUCACAGGUGAUGCCAACGCUACUGGUCCAAGGACCAGGCUUUGAGGAGCACUGCUUUAGGCCAAUCUCCAUCUGUAAAAUUCCUCGACCUCUGACUUAAAGUUUAUUUUGGCUGUUUACCAUAGCUUCAACUUCAGUGUCCUUCUUGAAGGGCAUUACUUGUCAUCCUAAUAUAAUUACCCCUUUCUCCAGUGGAUCAGACCCACAAUUUCACCCAGCUCCUGGGACACAGAGAAGAUGGAAGCCUGUGGAGAAGAAAAGAGUGUCAGGAGGUGAGGAUAUAUCCUCAGGACUCGUGCUAUACUUGCCAUGUAUUAGGACUUGAUCAAUAUUUUUUGAAUGAAUACAUGAGUGAGUAAAUAUAAUAGAAUUUCAAAGCUUUCAUACUUUAGGAAAGAGAUCUUAAGAAUAUGGGUGUUCUGUGUUUUAUUUAUAUUGAAAUAUAUUCAAUGUUAUAUAUUUGAUUUUAAAAAGUGACAUAUGAAUUUUCACUGGGAGAGGGAUUAAAUAGCACUUCAAAUUCUUCUAGGAAGUUGGAACCAUAGGAUGAAUCACUGUAGAAAGUAAAAUCCUUUUAGGAUUAAAAACAUUACUCUCUACUUUAUUUUUGUAAGUUUGGAAUUUCAAGUGAGAAACACUACAUUUUCAUUUUAAGAAGCACCAAUUUUACUUUUCACUGAACUAAAUAAAAGUGUGCAUUUUUGCCUGGUGUUUUAACUUGAAACCAUCAAUUAUUUCUUUUCAUUUCCUGCUCCUGUUGAUUUGACCCUAAAAUCUGGGUCAUUUUAACAAAUAAAUAGUGUUAACAACAACAAAAAGUUGAGUCAAUGCCACAUAACACUAACUUAAGAUGACUCUGUUCACUUUGAUCAGACUUUGAUUGUCUGUGCAAAGGGAGCUAUGCAUUAGAAAAUGACUACCGAGGCGGGGGUGGGGGAGUGGUAAACUGAGAAUUACAGUGUCCUGCUUUGUGAAUUACCUAAUCUACAGUGAAUUCGUGAUACGGUAAUGGCAGUGUUUUUCACCACACUUUGCAGUAUGUCUUCUGUUCUGAGGCUUUUCUUCCCAGAAUAAGGCCAAUGGCGCAGAAGUGGGCAGCCUCUUAGGCAGGGACCCCACUGGGCCCUCUCCACCCUUCCCCAGGAGAGGUGCAGUGGAGAUGAGAAGAACUGACUUUUCUUCCCCAUUCUGUCCUUGCUUCAGCCCUUGAAUAGCAUCAUCCCACACUGACUGGUAAAAAAUAAAAUUCUCUUAACAUAAAUCUAAAUAUACAGAACUGGAGAAUUGUUAAAACCAGCCCUGGUGGUCUAGUGGCUAAGAUUCAGUGCCCUCACCACUGGGACCCUCGUUCAUUUCCAGGUCAGGGAACCGCACCAUCCACUGUAGGUUGUCACACUGUAGCGGAUGCUUGUUGCUGCGAUGCUGAAAGCUAUGCCACCAACACUUGAAAUGCCAGCAGGGUCACCCAUGGUGGGCAGGUUUCAACAGAGCUUCCAGGGCAAAACAGACUAAGAAGAAGGACCUAGCCACCCAACUCCAAAAAAAUGGGCCCUGAAAAUCCUAUGAACAGCAACAAAACAUUGUCUGAUACAGAGCCAGAAGGUGAGAGGAUGGUGCAAAAAGACCAGGCAGGGUUCCACUCUGCUGUCCACACGGUCACUAGGAGUCAGAAUCGACUCAUGGCACUGACAACAAAGAACUGGUAAACUACAUCUUUGAGAGGGUGCGACUUGAUGCCUCCUUUUGCCAGAGGAGAUAGAUCCCAAGAUCAAGCAACUACUCAGUGGCAGAGAUGGGACCUGGUCCCCGUGCCUAGACUCUGACAGAGGUCUGAUGACACCCACCACAUGAUACUCCAGCCUGCUUUGCCCUCCCAGGAUGGGUGGCCUGUCACACUGCUUGAGUACAUGUCACCCCCCACAGUCAACACCCUGCCACAGGCUACCCAGAGGGGAGAAUGACCUCAGACUGCUAUCAACAACUUGCAAUUUGACAGGUAUUUACUGAGCACCUGCUGUGUGCCCGGUGCUACACUGUUCUCUGACAGCACAGGGUGAAUGGACACAGACUUUUAUUACAAGGUGGUUACAACCAGGGAAGUUUCUUUUUCACCACUUUACAAUAGCCGUCUCCUCCGUAAACUUUGCAAACGGGAGUAUGCCCCAGUGUGUCGGCAACCACAGAUUAAACUGAUUGUUACUUCCUCAAGUUUCCAUUUUCCUUGAUUGUAAUUACUCUAUUUCCUUGAUUUUAUGACAUAGAUUUUUCUAAUUCACGCUUUAAGCUUUGGAAAUCUGGAUGGUUGCCUCUCACAGUCAAGGUCUGCAUUAUACUGGUGGUUGUCUGUCUUUAUUUCUGAGAUAGAUUAAGCUGCAUCUUAGAAUGAUAUCUUAGAAUUGAGGAAAUAAAGGCAUUUAAAAUGUGAUUUUUAAUGUUAAAUCUUUCCAACUACUGCACAAUAUAUUGGUUUUAGUUGCUUUUUAAAGAUAAACAGAUACAAGACUUCCCAGGAGUGUCUCCCUUGCGGAGGGUGCUUUCAGGCUCCCUGUAGGUCCCUGAACUUGAACUUCUGGCUCCUUUGCCAUUAGGGGCACUUCAGGGGAAACCAAGAAGCCCUGGUUUAGCUGAUGCAACAUUUUUGAAUGGCAAAGUGAGAAUGGGAAACAAUCUGAAGGACGAACAUGAUGCUGAGCAUUCAGUCAGAAUCUGGACCUGUGAACAGUCAGACACAAACACUUUGGGAUGAACCGUUCAUUUUCACUUUAUUAACAUCCCCCAGGAAAGCUGGUCCAUCAUUUACUGUUACAUUGUUGUAUUUUUCCGCCUUGCCCCCAUCUCAGUUCUUUGUGACCAGCAGAAACUUGGGACCCUGCCCCUUCUCACUGUCCUGCCCGGCCACCUGUCCAGCCCUGUGCUCAGCAAUAAUGACCAGCAGACAGUGCCUUUCUUGCCAAGUGGAGCUGACGCUCUGUAGGCCAUUGUCUGUGGGGCUACGCUGCUGUCCCCAUCACUGCCCCUACAGGACACUCGUCAACAGCUGUGAGAGGUUUCCCACCCUGGCCCAUAUAAAAGGAAGGCCUGGAAAGGCUUCUCGGAGCAUCAGUUCAGAGGUCCCACAACCAGCCAAACAAUACACGAUUAUUCAAUGGCUCCAAUUCAUUUUCCUCUGCUCCUCCCCCAUGGUUACCCUUGAGAGAAAACUAAUUUGCAGAAAAAUAGCCCCUGCCAGCUAACUUCUCCUCCUAAAUGUAUUAUGACCCUGAACUCUUGUUUCUGUGGGUGCUUAUUCUCAUAGUAAAUGCACAAGAGUUCUGAAAAGCCACUUCUCCUUUAAAAACUACCCCACACCCCAGCCUGGGAGAUGCUUUCUUUCCUUUUAUUCUUUGCUUCUCUUUUUAACAUGUGUGCUGAAAUUGGCACUUUCUCUUUUCAGUUCACUCCCUUCCUACUAUUAAUGCAGGCAGCAAUGGAGAAAUGUGCGCAAUUUUUCCAGUCUCUGCACUCGGCAAGCCCAUGGGUGAUGGAUUAAAGAUACCCCUUCUGAAUCGCCCAAGGACCAAAGGGGAAGUUGUAUGAACAUGGCUGUUCAUGUGACCAUGCGGAUGGGGAGCCAUGUCCAGAAAGGUGAAGGACGGGCAGACGAGCCAACAGAUGUGUCCCACCAAAGAGGAUGGACCCCUGCCCUUAUCUUGGGGGCAGGAGGCCACUCUGAAAGAGGAAAAAGGUUGAGCCCUCCAUAAAAGCACCCAGUGAAGGGGCAGGUGGGUGCCGAAUCUUCUCCCUGCUCUGCUUGCCAAGCCCCUGGACUGGGAGAUUGCAUUGGCUCUGAGGACACAGAGUGUGUGUGUGUGUGUGUGUGUGACUUAGAUUAGGGAAAGGGGUGUGUGCUUUUCUAAUUCACACAAAGGUUUUGUAGUAACAGCAACUGCCCUGAAAUUGAACCUACCUCGCUGAGUUAUUAUGCUAGACAAAUGUGAAAAUUUAAAUAAAAUGGAGGCUCCCUAGGGGAGUUGAAAUUUGAACCCCAGCUGUCAGUCUCUAAAGCACCUAUCCUAACCCCUGUCAUUUUCCCGGGAAUGCAGAGAAGUGAUGGUCUCUGGGGAAUUCUACAGAUAGGAAAUUCUCUGGGCAGGCAGACGGGGAGAAGCCUCACAGAGGCGGGAGGUGCAGUCCCUCCCUUCAGGGCCAAAAGCAGGCCAAUAAAAGCCAACCAGCUUGUUUCCCUUGCCCAUCUAGUUAAGGCCUCAAUGCCUUUGACCUUCAAAAAACAUCUAAAACUUGCGAUGACAAAAGUUUUCUUGGGGGAGAGGGACGUAGCUGACAAGGGAAAUGGUGAUGCUUGGCACCUGACCUCUGUUUCAAGUAGAUUCCUUCCAGGCUACCUACUUGAUAGGUAGGUAAGGUAAAGAAAAUGAGAUCGUAAUGUGAUAAUCUGUCACUAUUCCUCCUUAUCAGAUCAUUGCCUUUGCUGGCCUUUGGACUGAAUACUUGGCACAGCAUUUUAGAACAAGAAGAUCCCUUAGAAAUAAUCCACUCCAGUGGUUGGCAUCAGAAAGCCCUUUUAAGGAUGGAGGUCUUCACAGGACCCUUCACCAUUUCUGAGCUUAUACGUGUGUUAAGGUGGCAGAGGCUCACUAAAAUACCUUAUUUCUUUGCCUUCGACUAGAACUUUAGUAACUUAAUAUGCUAAAACUUUGGACAUCUCAUGCUGAGUUCUGGCCAGCAGCUAUCUGUCUUUAAUUGAUAAGAAUGACAAUGAAAUCACUAUGACCCCAAACCCCACUUGGGGUCCUGAUUCCCAAGCCAGGGUUUAGUUCCAUCUUCUUGACAUUUAGGUCAAUGAUGAAUUUUGUUUGGUAAUUAGUUUCAAAUCACCCAGCUUGAUUUUCAAAACAAUAAAUUCGUUUUUCAAAUUUCAUUUUAAAGAAAACAUAAACUAGUGUAAAUUUAACACCAGAUCAUUUGCCAUCAAUAGAAAUAACUAGGAAAACAAGGCAUUGUGAUUGAAUUCUAGCUAACUCAGUUGCCUACCACGCUCUUAAACUAAGGCCUCUUCCCUCUUUGUUAGGGAAAGGGGAUGGGGAAGAUUGGGUAACGUUGGAGAGGUGUUAAGGGAAAACCGGCCCCAAACUGUGGCUUUGUCUAGACUUAUUCAGAAUAUGGAAAGGCAAUCAAAAAGGGAAUACUUUUCUCACAAAAGUUACGUCAUAUUCCUGCUGCCUUCAACCCAUGGGAGAAAUAUCACAUUACAGAGGUCAUCAAAGAAGUCAGAAAUGGAGCCUCUGCCCGCAUCCACUAUCUUCCCUUUUCCAGUUUGACCAAGGACUUACCCCUUUGCCCUCUUGAAUGGACCAUCCUUACUUCUCCUUCUUCUCCAGGGCUCGUUGAUCCUUUUAUCCCCUUUGCUCCCCAUUUUCAGAGCCCUGCCUCUGCUACUAGAUCUCAAGUCAUGGAGUUCCUAGCUGGAAGGUGAGGGAGCUUUGGAUCUCGAAGACAGGGGGAGAGGUGGUGGUGGUAAUUGCGGUGGAGGUGGUGGCGGUGGAUGGAGACCACUGAUAUUAACCAGAUCUGCUAUUCCUGCUCAAUAAUCCAGGCUUGUUUAGUCCCUUAGUUCUCGCUCCCAUUCCCAUUGUGCUGUGGGAGUGCAACUGAGCCUAAAUGCUAAUUCUCACACCCCAUAAAGCCCUUUAGCCCCCUGCUCCCUUCACCCGCCUCCCCGCUCUCCCUGUUCCUCCGUAACAAGCAGGAUGAUCCAGUCUUAUCCUUUAUAGCCUUUACUCUGUCCUGCCUUCCCAAGGCAUUCAUAAACUGCAACACUAUUUUGACACUCAGUGACAUAGGCUAGAGAGAUUAUUUAACUACCCAGCAUUUUCUAUCCGGUUCACCACCCUACCUCAGUGAAUUUUGAAAAUUUAAUCAUCCGACGCCAAACAGAAUGUGGUUAGACAUGCCAGCUUCCUUGUUACUUGAAUCUUCUCAGUUAGUUCCUCCUCCACGUCCCUGGUGUUUGUUUACGCUGCCUCAUUAUCUAAAACUCCUUUAUCCAGAAACUCUGUAACCUGAAAUGAGAUUGUGUUACUGGAUGUGUUUUAUUUACUUUGAAAACUGUCUAGCUCACUUGAACCCCUGCUUAUCCGAUUUAAUUCAGUGCUUGCCUAGAAUCUGCAGAUCACCAGGACCUUGGGGAUCCCUGCUCUUAUUUGUCUUAUUGUUUAACCUCUGCUGCAGAACAACGCCAAUUUCAGUCUUACUUUCUAUGGUGCAAACACACGUCAUGUUAUCUGAAUCCUACAGUUGUUCUACUAUCUCUGUUCCUGACUACUUUUUAAAAAAAUAAGAAUUGGACUUUUUAAACCUCCUUUGGUAUCCUGGGGCAGCAUUGCCACAGGGAAAGGAUACUGUCUUGCAUUUAGGGACCUAUGUUCUUAGCUUGGUUCUACAGUUGACUGUGUAACUUAAAACAAGUCCCCUAAAUUGUGUGUAUUUCCAUUUCUCAAUCAGCCAACUGGAGACAAUAGUAUCCAGGCUUCCUUGUCAUCCGAUGUUCUAUAGAUAAUAGAGAGUAUAGCCGUAGACAAGUUUAGAGGGAAAUAUCCUUUAUAUAAUUAAUCUAGAGAGAGAGUCAUUCACAAUUAAGUAGUAAUUAAUCCAGAGAGAGUCCUUAAUAAUUAUUUUUAUAAUUUCUCACAGUUGGCAAAGAAUAAGAUUGAGAAGUGUUAAUGGAAAACUGGCAUCAGACUGAGGCUUUCUCUGGAUGAUACAGAAAUGCUGAUUCCCAGCAAAUGAGCACCCUCACUCUGCUUGAACACUUCCUGUCAUAACAAGAUCACCACUUCUUUUAAAAGUUUCCAUUAUUGAACUCCUAGUUAGAUAUUUCUUUCUCGCACAAGACACAAAAUAUCCCUUUGGAAAAAUCUCACCUGCUUGUCCUAUUGCAACUCAAUUUACCAACAUUUACCAAGCACCUACCAUAUGCAAAGUCCUGUGUCAGUCAUCUAGAAUUCCAAAGAUAAAUUCAGCUAGGUUUCUGCAUUCAAGAUCUUUGCAAAUGUUCUGUAAAUGAAAGGUCAAAUGCUGUGUUGGAUAUUUUAAAGACAGAGAUACUCCACUACUGGCUAAGACGUGUAAUAGAGACCAGACUUCCCCUUCUGCCUGGACCAACCAAAAUAAUGAACAAAAUAUGUGCAACAACAGUCUUUAAGACACUGGAUACCAGGCAACAAAAAACAGUGAUUCCCAAGAGAAGGGGAACAAGCAAUUGCUCCUAUAAAAUAAGCUCAACCAAUCUUACUGCCUUGAGAGAGUUUUCAAGUCCCCAUAGUGGGAAGGGCGAUUCUGGCACAAGGGUCCAGUGGACUCCCAGAGAGAAGACAGGGAUGAUUCCUGGAGACAAGGACAGCUAGAGUUUGCAGGACAGACUACUGAAGAGAAGAUAGCUGCACAGGGUAAGAACACCAGACAUCUACAGAGGGUCCCCCUUGCAUAUUCAGCAGAGUACUGAUCAAGGAAUGCAUGUGAGGAAACUACCCAAUGAGGAAGGUACCACCCAAAAAAAUUAGAGGGAGCAGAAACAUGAAUAGUGCCUGUUUCCACCCGCCAGACUAAAAACUUCAUAAUUCAUGGGGCACUGGGUAGAGUACUCAGAAGGUUCUUUUCUCAGUAAUGAAAAAUAAUUCACCCUAGACUAAACACAACUCUGGUUCCACCUAACAAAUCUUAAAAACAAGACCCAAAAGGAGCAAACUGUUUACAAGCAAUUUAACUGCAUCCCAGAACAAAGAUCAAGAAUAGAAAUUCAAAAAUAGCCAGUACCCAACAAAGAAAAAUUCAAAAAGUAUGGCAUCCAGUAAAAACUUACCAGUUAUGCAAGGAGGCAGGAAAAUAUAACCAAUAAUUGAAGAGAAAUAACUACUAAUCAAAACCAAUCCAGAACUGACACAGAUGUUAGAAUUAACAGACAAGGACAUUCAAGUAUUAAAACGGUAUUGCAAGUGACCAACUAGUGAAGUACAAACAGGGGAGAUAUUCAGAAGACCCAAAUUGAGCUUCUAGUGACGAAAACUCCAAUUUCUGAGGUAAAAAUUUACACUGGAUGGAAUUAAUAGAAAAGUGGGCAUUGUAGAAAAAAACUAAGAAACUUUAAGAAAUAGCAGUAGACACUAUGCCCAAUUAAAGAUAGAGUGAAAAAAUGGAGACUGACUGAUCUUUGGAACUACUUCAAGUGGUCCAAUAUUCGUCUAACCAAGCAGAUGGAGAAAUGGAAAAAGAAUCAAAGCCCAGCAUAGGAAACAUAAAGAAACUAAACCAAGGAACAUCAUAAACAAAUUGUUCAAGCCAAAGAUAAAGAGAACAAGUAAAAAGCAGUCGUAGGAAAAAGACACAUUAUGUAUAGAGGAAAAACAAUGACAAUAAGAAUGGCAGCAGUUUCUCAUCAGAUACAAUGCAAAGUGAGAUGACAGUGGGCAACAUCCUUAAAGAUGAAAUACUGUCAACCUAGAAUUCUAUACCCAGUGAAAAUACCUUAAAGAAAUGAAGACAAAAUAAAGACUUUUUAGACAUAAAAAAGAAGAAAGAAUUUGUCACCAGCAGAUCCAUGUUCCAAACAAUGUUAAAGGAAACCUAUCAAGCAGAAAGAAAAAUGAUGCCAGAUGGAAAUAUGGAUCUAUGCCAAGGAAUGAAGAACACUGGAAAUGGGUGUAACAUAGGUAAGUAUAUAAUGUUUUAAAAAAUUAUUUAAAUCUCUCUUAAAGAUAAUUGACUGUUUAAUCAAAAAAUGUAAAGUAAGGUUUAUAAUGUAUAUAAAGGAAAUGUAUGACAAAAACAGCACAAAGCCAUGGAGGGAAGAAAUGGAUGUAUCCUAUUAUAGGGUGCUUAAGCUAUGUGUGAAGUACAGUAUAACACAACAAAGAGUUUAGCUAAGAAGACAAUAAAGAAUAUAAAAUGGAGUCCUAAAAAAUAGUCAACCUAAAAGAAGGCAGAAAUAGAGCAAAGAGGAAAUAGGGAACGAGUAACAGACAAGAAAAAAUAUAUCUUGUCAUCCACUCUGGACUCAAAAUACGAUCUCCCCCUUUCUAGAGUAAAACAGCCUCCCCUAAUGUGGAAACACUGCCAUGGCCUCAUCUGAGACAGGUGCUUCAUAAGACAAUGCUUGUCCUCCUCAAGAUCUGACCUUGCCCUCCUCCCAUUACUAAUCACUGGAGUCAGGUCUCAGCACAGCCUGACCCAGGAAACACAAUGCCUUCUCUUUAUGUUGCAAAACACUUGCAAGAUCUGGAAAAUAGUCAUUGGGAGAAAUCAGCAAAACACACAUGGAAGCGCAUUUUGAGAGGGUUGGACAAGGGAGCCCUGAAUAUGAAGAUAGAUGGAAAGAAUUCGUUGAUAUGGGAGCAUCCUUCCCUAACUCAGGAUUUAACAUCCUGGCAAAAACAUCAGAAUCCAGUCACAACACUCUGCUGGCAUGACUCGUUGAAGCUUGGAUACAAUGGACUAUAGUAAACACGGCAGAGUUGCUAGAAUGACUUUGGCACACUAAAGAGGACGGGUCAAAGGGAGAUGGAAAUGUUAAAAUGGAUUUAUUACUGUGAUCAUAGAACUCUCCAUCUGUCUGUACUCCCUGGGAAGUCUCAGAGGACAUUCCUUUCACUACAGAAAUAAGAAAUGCACUGAUGAAGAAAGCACUAGCAUCCCUUGAGAAACUCCAAUAGUGGUUAUCCCCUAUGAACCAGAGUUAAUAGGAGGAGAUGCUGCCAUGGAUCUGGGCACCUUAGCAUCCAUCAGGAUGAUAGGAUUCUGGAAUGUCAGAGGCCAGGUGGCAAUUCUGGUAUAUGUGAUUACUGUAACGGGCAACUAGGUUGGAAGAUGCUUCGCCCCUCAGGAAUCUGUGGCAGUGGCUAAAAGGCCAGAGUGUUGCCAGUGAUGAGACAGAUGAACAGCCAACCAGGGUGGUACUUGACUUGUAGAAUUGGAAAAAAAUUGAGAGCUUAUACAAAGUAGAUCCAAUAGGUCUACAGACCCACCUUGUGGUUAUUUCCCCACUUCCCAAGUGCAUAAUUUGGAUGGAUAAACAAAGUAGCCAGCACAAUCCUCCCACUGGUUCCCUGACCUACAGAGUAAGAGUCACUAGAGUAGGAAGGCCAAGUGGAAGCCUCUGAAACUAUCCAACCCCAACCCCACCAGCCAAGAGAGUAAACCCAAGUCAGCACUGCAUCCUAAAAGAGAAUUCAUGUGAGCAUCAAAGACAAAAUAUGUAGGGAUGACGGUCUCCAUCAUAUCCCUGUAUAAUUCACCUGCAUGGCCCCUGAAAACAUAAACUAACAGAUCAUGGUGGAUGAUAGUGGACUACCAUAAGCUUAACCAAGGGGUAGCCCCAAUCUCAGUUGCUGAGCUACAUAUGACAUCUUUACUAAAACGCAGCCUCUGGCCCUCCGUAUGUUGCGAAUAUGUUCUUUUCAACACCUCGUGAAUAAAUAGGAUCAAAAGCAGGUCUCCUUUAAGUGGGAAGGACAUCAGCACACACUCAUAGCCUUGCUUAAGGCUGUGCAAAGCUUCUUGUGCAAUGUCACAAAACAGUCUGCAGGGAUCAUAAUUGCCUUGAUAUUCCGUAAGCAUGCUGGAACACUAGAUGGACGACAUCAUGCAAAUUUAACCCAGUAAACAGAAACAGCAACCUGUAUGUCACAGGGUGGGAAUGAAACCCCACAAAGAUUCUCUAACCUGCCCCAUCAAUGACAUUUUUAGGAGUCCAGUGAUCCAGGGGGUGCUGGUACAACAUCUUCAAGGUAAAGGAGAAGACAUUAGGUCUUGUACCUUAUUCCAGUUCUCUAUUUCAGCAUAACAAACCACCCCAAAACUUAGCGAUGCAAAACAGCAACAAUGCUAUGCUCAUGGAUUCUGUGGGUCAGGAAUUCGGACAAGACACACCAGGAAUGUUUUGUCUCUAUUUCUUGAUUUCUGCCAGAUUUCUAAACUGUGGUUCCAUGAUAGAAUUAAGCCCUAAUGCCCUAAGGCAUCUAUUUGUAUGUAAUGAGUUAAUUUCUCUCCCGUGUAUCUAGAAUGGUACUAGUUACAUACCAUACUUGGGUGAACUGAGAAAAUAGUCACUAAAACCAUUUUCUUUCUUCUGCAGCUCAGAUGAGGAACUUCAGUUGAGAGAGCCUGGCUGGAGCCUUAGGGGGUAAACUCAAGUGCCUCUGGGUGACUCAGAUUGGACAGGAAUCUUAUGGAGUCAUCUUCACCUGUAUUUCCAGUGCUUGGGCUGGGUGACUUAAAAGGCUAGGCUCAGUGAAGGCUGUCGACAAAAACACCAACAUACGGCCUCACCAUGUGGCUUGGACUUCUUCUCAGUAGGGCAGCUUCAGGGUUGUUGGAAGAGCAAGUGUCCCAAUGAAUGAGGGAGAAGCUACAUGGCCUUUUAUGACCCAGCCUCAGAAGUCAUGUGGUAUAUCUUCCACCAUCUCCUAUUAGUUGAAGACGUAAACCCUAGCCAGCUUCCAGAAGAGGGGACAUGGACCCCAUCUCUUGAUGGCAAGUUUCAAAGAAUUUUGAGGUGAUGUAUUAAAACCACUAAAAAUCUUCAGAAAUAGGAGGCAGCAUAUACUACUCUUCGAAAUACUGCUCUGACCCAUUUAUUGGGUGACUUGGAAGGCUGCCAGUUUUGAGUGCCAGAGCAAGAUCUGCAGCAGGUCUGGGCUGUGGUACAAGUGGUCCUGUCACUCAGGCCACAUAACCAGCAGAGCUAAUGGUGCUAUUUAUUGCAAAUAAAGAUGUGUGUGUAGUCUCUGCCAAACCCAAUAAGGGGAGUUGCAGCACAGAUCCUAGAGUCCCAGAGUCCUUCCUUCUGCAGCAGAAAACUAUAAACAACUUGAAAAACAGCUCCUGAGCCCUGAUAGAGAUGGAGCCUGACUACAGGACAUCAGGUGACCAUGUGGCCAGAACUGCCCAUUAUGUGCUGGGUAUUAUCAGACAGACAAUGUUGGGCACGCACAGCAGGAAUGUGUCAUGCAAUGGAAACAGUUCACUGGGGUGUGGGCCAGAAGGUAUACAGAGGGCACAAGUAAAUUCCACCUGCCUCAGAUUCCCGUGUUAUCUACCUGCUUCCCUCAGUUCAUACGUAAGGCCUUAUAAUUUACUACAAUCAACCAAGGGGAAAAAAACUUGGACCUAGCUCACCUCAACCUUGUCCGGGUUGCCCUGACAAGUUGGUGCUAACAAAAAAUGGGCCUCCAUCAGACUACAGCCUCAUUCUGGGUGGCCCUGAAGGACAGUGGAGGUCACUCCUCGCCGUGAGCAGAGCUGUAAACAAUGCACUGGUUCACUCACUUUGAGGGCAGGAGAAGCAGUCUGUGUUAAUGGUAUAUCUGGACCCAUGGGCAGUGGCGAAUGGCUUGCUGGUUGGGUCAGGAGCCUCAAAGGAGCAAACUUAAAGUUUGGAGACAAGGAGAUAAAGUGUGGAGAAAAUUAUGUAGAUGGAUCUAUGGUCCUGGAGACAUAGCACACGGAUCUCUGGCUCAUAUCCAGGCCCACCAGAGCACCUCCCCUGCAGGUACAGCACAGAACCACUAGGUGGACAGGAUUUUCCUGAGGAUGCCAGCCAGCCUCUCUCCCUAGCAGCUCCAGAACUUGCAUGACAGAGGGGACAUGGAGCAGGGAUAUAGGAUCUGCAUGGCCCCAGCAGCAUGAGUGCCAUCUCACCAAGACCAGACUAGCAACUGCUAUACUGAAUAUGUGCCUGUCACCAGAGAGACUGACACAGAACACUCCAUAUGGCAUGCAUCCCUGAAGGACGCCAGCCAGUCACUUGGUGGUAGGUUUUUUCCACCAGAUGCCCUCUAUCCCACAGGGAGCAGUGACUUAGCCUUACCAGAAACGGAUCUGGGUUUGCCUUCUUUGACCCAGUGCCUCUGCCUGCACCACCAUCAACUGAACCAUUCUGACAUAUAGGCACACCCGGAUUUUUGAGGAGUUAACAUUACAGGGGCAACACUUGACCAUUUGGUGCCAGGAGACAGGAAAUGAUACUCUCUUCCAUUCCUUGAGAGGACAGUCCUCAAAGGUCCAAGAAGGAUGGAGCCCCAUUUGACCACCAUAGAAACCAUCUCAACAAAGCACCUUGGGCUGGCUUUCCCUCCAUCUUGCUUGACAUCUUUUAGUCUCCCAUUCCUGGUGCCUGUGUUUCCCAAAUAAACCACUUGCCUCACCCUCCUUUCUCAGGCUUUACCAUCUGAGAGAACCUGGGAUAAGACGCUCUGAGACCUAUUCACAAAACAUACUUUUCCUGUGAAGUGAGAAGUCCCUGUGUUGUGAUUUAAGCAAUCUCUACUCACAUGGCACCAUUGGUUUUUUUGUUAGUUUGCUUACUCUCUUGUUUUGAGGUAAAAAAGAGUUUAGAGAACACAAAAAAUCAGUUUCCCGCUGAGGUAUUGUAGAUUCUGCCAAUGGAUGAGACACCCAUCACACUGACCUUCAGGUGGGCUGUGCAGGUGGUGCCCUGCACAGGGGGCUUGGCUGAGGAGUAGGUGGCCUUCUUUCACUAAGCAGAGCCCCCUGGCACAGGCCGCAUCUGCCCAGAGGAAGGGGAGCCUAUUCCUAAUUCCCAGAAAGGACUGUCAGCUCACUAAGCCAUGUGCCUGAGAGGCACUUCCCCCCAAGAAGGGCACAUUUUCUAAUGAGCAGAAAAUCAUCCUAUGGGCAGCAGAGUUUCAGCCUCCACCCUACUCUACGUCUGCCAUUCAGCUCUUGAUGCCACCACAUUUGGUUCCGAUCUAAGAGCAUUUUCCUGAUUAAUUAAAGACUCAGAACACAACUCACCACAUAUUUUAAAGUUGUAGGUCCAGAGCUAGUGAGAAAAACAUAGUUUUGAAGUUGGAAGGAACUUCAGAAAUUAUCUAAGGCCAGGCCAACCCCUCUGUUUGACAAAUGAGGAAACUGAGUCCAGAUCCACCUCUGCAUCUCCUCCUACUCUCACCAGGCCAGAUGCCAGGCUCCAGCCCGGGCACUGCAGGGGCAGCGUCCGCGACCCAGCUUAGUUUCAAGUAAAGAACUGCUGUAAUUGACUAAAUGCCUCCUUUCCUGAAAGUGACUUUAUGAAGAUGAGUAAAGAGGAAACACAGCACCUGAAUCAACAUUGUGCAAACUUAAAUUAUACACUUUCCACUUGUGUGCAAUGUAUUUGGAGGAGUUUCUGUUUUUCAUGAACACGAAGCAAUCUCUUUUGACUUUGGUUACUAGGCAUCUGUAAAAUUGAGGACAUGGGGUUGCAUUCAUAUUAUUUCAAUGUACACUGAACACCAGGCCAAAAAAAAAGGAAUAAAACGAGAUUUGUUGAAUGGCCACUUGAUUAUUGUGUUUUCAACAAGCCAUAGACAUUACAUUGAGGCCUUUCAACUCGCUGGUGGCACAGCUUUGAGCCUGUUCUGUUGUGGGUGGUAAGUGAUCAUAUUUCAGUGUGAAAUGAAAGAUGAGACUGACGAAAAAUCUAGUUAUAAAGCUGCUGUCUAAAAGGAGGCCAAGAAAGAGAGGCAGGUAAACUAGUUUCCAAGAAAUGAAAUAAAGAGCAGGAGGGCUCAUGCUGUGGCCCAGGCUUAAAGAAUUCGUGAGCUCCAGUCUGAGCUCUGUCAGUUACCUGGACAUCUUGUGCCGGCUUUUCCUCAUUACCUUGCCCAGUUGACAGCUCCUGACCCUUCUCAGGUUAACUAAUGAAGGCAGAUUAACUGAUGAUAGCAAUGUGCUUGACAUGCUCCACGCAAGGAGGGGUCUCCCCAUCCUCUCCUUCUGCCCACAGCAGGCAACUGAGCUGGAGCACACGCUUGCUCUCCAUGGUGCACAUUUUGGAAAGUGAGGACCCACCUGGCUGAUGCGGGCCCUGAAAUUCCCACAACUCCGCUCUCCGUUCUGUCUGAUCUCAAGAAAGAGGGGACUCAGAAGGAGCUACUGGUCUGCCCCUCCCCACCAGCUGCCUACUGCUGGGGGUCUACCCACCCGCAGGAGGGCACCCUGGAGGAAGGGAGAUUUGAAGGAAGGAUGGGGCUUCUGCAGAUUGUCCACUGCACAAUGGGGAGGGUGUUCUAGAAGGUGAGGGACUUGUUUUGCAUCUUAGGCAGGCAGAGAGAGUGCAUUGACUUCAAACCCGAGGAGGUGAUCCCAGGCCCUCUGCUUCAAAGUAACAGGGAGCAAAAGAGUGGGCUCCUUUGUAUAAUACUGGAACCCUACUUCCUGGUUAGAGUCCCAAGUCUGCUGCUUAUCAGCUCUGUGACUUGAGGCAACUACCUUAACAUCUCUGUGCCUCAGUUGCCUUGUGUGGGAACUGAAGACGAUAACAACUAACAUAUAUUGACUGCUUGUUAUGCGCCAAGCCCAGCUCAGAACAAUUCACUCGUAUUUAUUGAUGUAUUCCUCCUCCUGAGCCCGAGAGGUAGACAUUAUUAUUGUCCCCAUUUUACACAUGAAAAAACUGAGUCACACACCAGGGAAAUGGCAGAGGCAGCAUUCAAACUCCGAUGGUCUGGCUCCAUUAUGCAAGCUCUUAGCUGCUCAGUAGAGUAGUAAACAAUGUUACCUCCUUCAUAGGGUUGUUGAGAGACUUAAGUGAGUUAAUCAUGUCGAGUGUUUGGAGCACGCAGUGCCAGCCACCUGGGAAGUGCUCAGUAAAUGUGAGCUGCCACUGUUACUUGAGUCCCACUCUCACUUGGGGCUGGUGUUGAGGCCACUGAAGUGGAAGAGGACAUGGGACAGCAGGAAAUGGCUCGGAAGAUUUGGGAUGACUUGGGUCUUCCUCUCCCCAGCAGUCCCUUUUUCUGCCCAGGCAGCAGGGAGGGUGUUAUUGGUAUCCAGGAACGCACAAUUUUAUCUCGGUGUAACAUUCCACAAAGAAGUCUGCGCUCACCUUGGGCCACGUGAUCUCUGAUCCCAUCCCCAGGCUUUUGAAGCUCUGAGCACAGGCAGAAAAAUCAGAUUCCUCACCUCAGGUUGCCCCAACAGGCUCUUCCUUUCUGUUUCAGUUUCCUGACCAAGAGACACCCCUUUUCUCCAGGGGACUGACACCGGGGUGGGGGGUUCUGCUCCCUGUGUUUGCUGCACAUGCCCAACGUCAGACCCAUUUCCUGCCCUUCUCUUCCUGUUCUGUGCACCAGGGGGCUAACCUCUAUGGACUGCUGACCCCGACUCCCUUGCCAGCUGGCUUCUGGCUGGGCUUGGUCAAUGGGAGGCAGCAGCAGGAAAUAAGAGGGUGGGAGGAAAGGGGUCGGAGGAUUUCUUUCCUGCUUCACUGGCGUCUGACAGGGCUGUGACCCUUCACCACUACAGCUUCUGCCAAGGGGCUUUCCUCCACAAUGCCCACCCCUGGGCUCCAGUGACUAUUUCCUCCUCUUGUCCCUUUGGCCUAGGGGAGCUUGUGGCUUCCCACCACUCCUGGUGUCUGGGUGCCUUGUCAUCCUUGUCUGCUCCCCUAACCCCUUUCACACCACCGUAAACUGUGCCUUAAUUCACGUUCUGCAUUUCCACCAUCUGGGUGAACUCAGGUCCCUGCCGGGAAGAUGGCUGAUUCACCUCCACGUGUAGGGCUCACCUCACCCAUGAGGCCCCAAGGUAGAGCUGCACCUGCUCCGUUAAUUAUUGUUAUAAAAGUUAAUCUGGUUGAAAAUGUUGAGUCGCACAUUGUUUAAUUACAUUAAAGUUGGAAGUGAUAGAUGAGCAUGAGAAAGAAAACAAAUAUCACACAUAUUCUCAGCACACAGAGGUAAGCACUAUUUUACCAUCACAUUUUUUCUUAUCACAAAGAGAUCAUCCUACAUCAUUUACCAGCUUAAAUAUAUUAUGAAUCAUUUUUUUCAUCCAUAAAUAUACUUCAGCACUAAUGGAUUUGCUUCUAAUACCUCUAAGUCAAAAUUCCUAACGGCUGUAUAGUAUUCCAUCCAGGCCCGUGGCAUGGUUUCAUCAGUCCUCUAUUCAGGAACAUUCAGGUAGCUUUCCAUUUUUCCUUAUUAUAAAUAUCCCUGUACAAUAUAAAAUACUUGAAAAUACAACACAAUAAACUCAGUCUUCCUAAAACAAAAGCCACAGGGCCACGCCCUCUCAAGAGAUAAUAACAUCUGCCUUCCCUGCCUCCCACUGACGUUGUGAGGUGCAACUGAGAAAACAUCUGUGGAGGCUCUUUAUAAACUGUAAAGUGUAUGGGGUGGUUAUUAUAGUAUGAUCUUACUUGUUCGCAGCGAGCCUGCAAGGCAAGCACGGUGGAUAGAUCCUCAAGGCACACUGUACUGACAAUUUUGCCAGACAUAAAGAACUGAAGGCUUACUUUUAGGCUUUUAUAUAUUUAUGUCUCUUUAGCACAACAAAGAAUUGUGCAUAAGAAAAACAGCCUUCCUGUACAAAAGUAAACUACCAGCUGGCAGGACAUUCGAUCAGUUCUGGUGCGUGUUAACUCAUUGUGUCCCUUCCAGAGGACCAGUUCAAACAAUGGAAGGAAUUCGAGUUGUCUGAGAGGUCCCCGGGGCCCUGAAGGCCCUCCGCCAAUAUUGGUUCCUUCAACCCCUGCAGUUGAUUAGUCAUAAUGACUACUUUCCGGUUCUUUCCUGAUAGUCUCUUCUAAAAAGCACUUUAGAUAACUCUGCUUGAUUAAAAAAAUUGAGCAGUAGUUUAGUUUUUUUUUAAUGGGAACUUUCAUGUCAAGUGUAGAAGCUCCAUUGACAUCUCACAUAAAAACCACCCCAUCACUCAGAAGAAGGCACUCCAUUUUGGAUGAAUUCUUGAUUUACUUUCUAUGAAUCUAAGUUCCUGGAUAUUCUCUCAUCUUACUAAGGCAAUGCUAUUAAAAUGUCAGAACACGGUUUCCUGGAGCAAGAGUCUUACACAGUUUUCAAGUCUUAAUGAAAGGCACCAGACAAGUUUUUAAAAUCUGACUUGAGUCACGCUUAAUGCUAUUUGCUAACUAGUGGGAAAAGCAAAGGUUUCUGUACAUUAAAGGGAUUCUGUUCUACCAAGGUAAAUGAUGUUCUGGGGCAUGAUAUUUUAUAUGAUGGCUUGUUUUCUAUCGCGAUUGGUUUUUCCACAAAAAUUCAAUAAAGGGGACAUAACCUACUUUAUAAUGUCAAGAAGGGUUUUUACUUUAAAUUUCUAUGAGUUAAGAAAAGGUCCAAGGACUUCUCUCUGACUCUUUCUCAACAACUUAAUCAUUUUUCUGUCUUCUGGGAAGGACAGACAGAGGGAGCAGAGCAUGGUGUUUACAUACCAGAUGUGACUCGCCUCAACAGAGCAAGAGGCCCAGGGUGGUUUUUCUGUGUGAGUCAAGGAAGCACCUGCUACCUAGUCAGACGACCUGGUCCAGGGGUCUCGGCAAGGAAAGGUGACCACGCUCUGCACAGAGACACUCAAAUCCCUUUGCUUCCUUCCUUUCUAAUUUAAUCUCUGUAGAUGUUCCACUGUUUCCAUGGGUUUAUCUAUUUCUAUCAUCUCUACUGCCCCCAUUUUUUUUACAGGUGUGUAUUCAACCAAAGAAAACGAGUAAGAAAAACAAUUAUGACAGUGAAAAAAAAGAUUCAAAACUGCCAUAUGUGACACCCAUGGGAGUCCCUGAUUAAUUUUCAUUUUCAUCAUUUAGUUCUGAGCUUGGCCUGACUCAGUAACUAUGUGAACAAGUGUGGUCAUGGACUUGAUUUCCUUGCUGCUUUAGAGAAAAUGAGUCAGCCCAAGUCUCUUUCUUACCAUCAUAGGUUCCUGAAAGGCAAGAACUGUGAUUCCACGUGCAAGCGGUCCCAAUGCCGCCGCAGCAGAUGCUUGUCACACAGCAAUUCCCACGAUGGGAAUUUCAAUAGAUUUUAGAGAGCAGCCAGCCAACACUGAAAACAUCAUGUUGUAGACAAAAUUGUCCAUUCAUUUAUUUGUGUCUCCCUUAUCUUUCCUUGGAACCAUAUUCUCCUACCCAUUUUGGAUAUUCAAAAUAUUGAUUCUGAAAAAAAUAAUCUAUUAGCAAAUAGUUACAACUGGUAGGAUACUCGAGGAGUCUAGCUGAAAAAAGCAAGCACUAGCAUGAUAACUGCACAAAAAAUACUCAGGGAAAUCCAAAAAUGGGGAGAUCACCGUAUUUUGAGAAUAGUUAGGAAGGGCUCCACUCAGGAGCAGAGAGGAGAGCUAAGCCUUGGACGGGUAAGGAGGUUGGACGGGACUGAGCAAGGUGGGCAGGAAGAGGAAAGACGUGGCAUUUGUGAAGUACAAGUUGACAGAGGUGCGGAGGUAAGUUUGAACAGGUGUGUUAUGGAAAAGGUGAGUUGGACUAGAAAAGAGUUUUCACAAAGAAAACAUGGCACCUAAAGGCAACGUGUCAUUAGGAACCAGGUAGUUCAUUGAAAACCUAAGAUUUAGACUUGAUUCUAUGGGCAAUAGAAAGCCACUGAACACUUGUGGGCAGGAGAGUGGCAUGGAGAAAGGUAUCUUUAAAGAUGAUUAACAUGACGCUAAUGACCAAAAUAGGUGUCAGGAGGCUCCUGACAGUCCAGCUGGGAGCCUCUGAGGCCUAGGAGAGGGGGGUGGCAUGGCAGCGGAGAGAGUAGGAGUGGGUGAUCAACCCUGGCAAAGAAGACCUGACAGAACUCCAGGAGCUGCCCACGGUCCUCUCGAGAAACAUCUCGUGGAUAAAGCCUUUCUCUUUCUCUAAAAAUCCCCCCAUUCUAUUCCUCUACUUUGCUCUUAACAGUCACUCAACUAUGCUGUGCUAACAUGUUGAGGACAGAUUAUGACUUAAAAUAGGAGCAAGAAAACACAAAAUUGCACAGUGAUAAGAAAUGUUAAGCAGCAGGCACACUACGAGAAGUAACUUCUCAUAGAAUUCCUUCAAAAUCCUUUAAAACCAAUAAAACAUAGAUUUUAAUAGUAAGAAACCAAAACAAUUGGGUAGGCUUGGGGGCAGUUACACAAGAAACCAUUUACUCCAAAUUUUUCACCAAGUUGCAGCAUUCGGGUUGUGGUUGGUCACUCUGACACCGAGAGAAGACAACUUAUCAUGGAUUGCAUAUCGUUUUUCUGCUUUCCAAAUUACCUCGAUUGCUCAGGGUCAUUGCACUCUACACAGCUGGGCUCCAGGAAUGAGUCAUUUAAAGAGGCGCCCCCAAACAGAAGUUUCUGUUCUCGUCCGUUUCUCUAACGUGUGCUCUGUGCUUAGACCGGCUGCUAAACAAAUUACAGAAGAAAACAGGAGUAUCUAAGCAGUCACGCAAAUUUCCACAGGUACAGGCUCUGAAAGACAUCAGCCCAGCCAAAAGGACCUCAAGCAUCUGCCAAGGAGAAGAACCUUGCUUCUAAGAAUGUUCUGCAGCCUUCCACGUCUCCUUCCAUGACAGGCAUCAGCGGUGUGACAAUUAGGUGUGGGGGGUGGGCAUUUCUGUGGGUUGGCAGCCUAUUUUAACUUCCAACUGUGGGAGUGAGCUUCAACUCUGUGCUAAAAUUAGGGGAAUCCAGCAACUCCUGUGGUUAUUUCAAUCAGUUCCCACUUAUUGAGUAGCAGCAGCACAGUUAAGUAAUAACAUGGUAACCUUGCCAAGACAUAAAUGAAACGCUGAGUGUUGCCCAGUUGGCUCUGAAAUCGCUUCAAUGAUCUAAGUGGAGAGCUAGACCAACAAAAGGGCUGCUGUCAGCUCUAAGGGCCGGGGAACUGGGGACAUGCAGUGGAAUUCCCAGGGCAGCUCCUCUGACGCUCGGGGAAAAUUUAAGGGAGUGGGAAGCAGUCAGCCUGGCAAUCCCAAUUUCCCUAAAGAAAUGCCAAGAGUCCCAGUGGUCAGAAAGCCUUGGUUGGACCUCCCCUCUCAGAGAAUACACACUGGCUCUGCCAGGGUAGCCCGCUGCCAGAGCCAGGGCAUCCAACGAGACC